rnacentral:rRNA from 1 species
UACGAAGGGGGCUAGCGUUGUUCGGAAUUACUGGGCGUAAAGCGCACCUAGGCGGACUAUUAAGUCAGGGGUGAAAUCCCGGGGCUCAACCCCGGAACUGCCUUUGAUACUGGUAGUCUCGAGUCCGGAAGAGGUGAGUGGAAUUCCGAGUGUAGAGGUGAAAUUCGUAGAUAUUCGGAGGAACACCAGUGGCGAAGGCGGCUCACUGGUCCGGUACUGACGCUGAGGUGCGAAAGCGUGGGGAGCAAACAGG